UCGCUACUACCGAUUGAAUGGCUUAGUGAGGCCUACGGAUUUGGACCAUGGUCGCAAGACUGUGAGUUUGGAGAAGCCGGUCAAACUUGGUCAUUUAGAGGAAGUAA
rnacentral:rRNA from 1 species